CCUACGGGUGGCAGCAGUGAGGAAUAUUUGUCAAUGGGCGCGAGCCUGAACCAGCCAAGUCGCGUGAAGGAUGACUGCCCUACGGGUUGUAAACUUCUUUUAUAAAGGAAUAAAGUGAGGCACGUGUGCCUUUUUGUAUGUACUUUAUGAAUAAGCAUCGGCUAACUCCGUGCCAGCAGCCGCUGUAAGACGGAGGAUCCGAGCGUUAUCCGGAUUUAUUGGGUUUAAAGGGAGCGUAGAUGGGUUGUUAAGUCAGUUGUGAAAGGUUGCGGCUCAACCGUAAAAUUGCAAUUGAUACUGGCAGUCGUGAGUACAGUUGAGGUAGGCGGAAUUCGUGGUGUAGCGGUGAAAUGCUUAGAUAUCACGAAGAACACCGAUUGCGAAGGCAGCUUACUAAACUGCCACUGACAUUGAUGCUCGAAAGUGUGGGUAUCAAACAGGAUUAGAUACCCUGGUAGUC
rnacentral:rRNA from 1 species